UACGAGGGGGGCGAGCGUUGUUCGGAAUUAUUGGGCGUAAAGGGUGCGUAGGCGGUUUGGUAAGUCUCUUGUGAAAUCUAUGGGCUCAACUCAUAGUCUGCAAGGGAAACUGCCGGGCUUGAGUGUGGGAGAGGUGAGUGGAAUUUCCGGUGUAGCGGUGAAAUGCGUAGAUAUCGGAAGGAACACCUGUGGUGAAAGCGGCUCACUGGACCACAACUGACGCUGAUGCACGAAAGCUGGGGGAGCAAACAGG
rnacentral:rRNA from 1 species